rnacentral:misc_RNA from 1 species
AGUACCCAAACGGAUGGAUGGAUGAAGAACACAUAGUUUUGGUUCAAUUCUGCAUUGGGUAUCUCACUCCAGCUGCUAACAGUCUCUGCUGCUCAAGCUGGAACAGUUCGUGCAUCUUGUUCUUGAGGUAGCAGUACUCGUGCUCCAGCAGCUCCAAAGCUCUCAAGCAUCCAGCUCGAUUGUUCUGCUCAGAAGCGGCGCGAAAGGCAACACACACAUUUCUGACUCUUUUGGCGCCAAUACUAGAGCUACUUCCUAUAAACUGAUUUAAAUGGAUUCCCAUUUUCUUGUAGUCCGAGCACUCUCUAUCCAUCAGUAAUCCUCUGAGAUUCCUCAGGAGCUUCUCCGAUUCAUGGAAGUAGAUAUUCACAACUUCUGAUACAAAGUUCGGGGAGCUUUCAUCUUGAAGCUGCUGCAGCUGCAAGAACUGCUCAUCCAGCACUCCCUGGUGAAAGAGUAGUGCAAGUAAACGGUUCAUAUCGGCCCGCAACCGAUCCGCACCCAACCCAAGCAUCCACACAGGUAGACCCGUUUUGGCUAAUUAUGCAAUUGAUCAAGAAGUUAAAAGUUUUUCACCAAGGUUUGGGUGUCAGCUUCUCGAGGGUUUAG